UUUUAUAUAAUCUUUGCUCCUUUGUAAAUAAUAGAUAGUCCUCUUUUCCUCUCUCCCUUUCUCCUUCACCUCUUCCUGUUUCCUUUCUCUGGCUGGUGCAGAUAAGAAGUUCAAGUAUAUUGGGUCACCAAGGAAGCCAGAGUGGAGGCUGCAGGGAAUAUGGAUUUAAAUGAAUUUUGGCUGUACCAUCAAGCAGUCUGAUCACUGAGGAAAUAUCAAAAGCUUCACCUGAGUGACUCAUCACCCAAAUUCAACAGAGAGUGAAGAGAAAUGUGCUUUCUGCUGAUAUUGUGCCCAAGGAGGAGUUAUAGACUUGCCAAAGAAGCUGCUUAUUUCACAGAAGGAUGGUGCUGGCUGAAAGAUACUUCCUUGAAACUGAGAGAUUGCUUCCUUAGACAGGUCUCCUUGAAGAGAUAUCAAACCUCACCAUGUCACUACUACCUUGGAGUUUGGAGAACACUGAAUGGAUGA
rnacentral:lncRNA from 1 species